GAUGAACGCUAGCGGGAGGCCUAACACAUGCAAGUCGAACGGGAUUGGUAGCAAUACCAUGAGAGUGGCGCACGGGUGAGUAACGCGUAUGCAACCUACCUAUAACAGAGGGAUAGCCCAUAGAAAUGUGGAUUAAUACCUCAUAGUUCUAUUAGAUCGCAUGAUUUGAUAGAUAAAACUCCGGUGGUUAUAGAUGGGCAUGCGUGACAUUAGCUAGUUGGUGAGGUAACGGCUCACCAAGGCAACGAUGUCUAGGGGUUCUGAGAGGAUGAUCCCCCACACUGGUACUGAGACACGGACCAGACUCCUACGGGAGGCAGCAGUGAGGAAUAUUGGUCAAUGGGCGCAAGCCUGAACCAGCCAUCCCGCGUGCAGGAUGAAGGCCCUAUGGGUCGUAAACUGCUUUUAUACACCAAGAAAAACUCCGAUGCGUUGGAGCUUGACGGUAGUGUAU
rnacentral:rRNA from 1 species